GGCGUGAGCCACCUUGCCUGGCCCUAUAAAGCUUUUAUUCUCCUAUGGCAUUGCUUAAGAAUCCCAUUAAAGUAUGAAUAAGGACUAAUAAAUAAUUGUGAGUUUUGAUUAGUGUAACAAAUGAAUUACCUAGAUCAGUAUUUUCAAGGUAUGGUCCAAGGAAUCCUGGAGGUCCCCUAGACAUUUUUGGCGAGUCUACAAGUGCAAAACUAUUUUUAUAAUACU
rnacentral:lncRNA from 1 species